CCUUGACAUCCAGAGAACUUAGCAGAGAUGCUUUGGUGCCUUCGGGAACUCUGAGACAGGUGCUGCAUGGCUGUCGUCAGCUCGUGUUGUGAAAUGUUGGUUAAGUCCGCAACGAGCGCAACCCUUAUCCUUUGUUGCCAGCGGUUCGGCCGGGAACUCAAAGGAGACUGCCGGUGAUAAACCGGAGGAAGGUGGGGAUGACGUCAAGUCAUCAUGGCCCUUACGGCCAGGGCUACACACGUGCUACAAUGGCGCAUACAAAGAGAAGCGACCUCGCGAGAGCAAGCGGACCUCAUAAAGUGCGUCGUAGUCCGGAUUGGAGUCUGCAACUCGACUCCAUGAAGUCGGAAUCGCUAGUAAUCGUAGAUCAGAAUGCUACGGUGAAUACGUUCCCGGGCCUUGUACACACCGCCCGUCACACCAUGGGAGUGGGUUGCAAAAGAAGUAGGUAGCUUAACCUUCGGGAGGGCGCUUACCACUUUGUGAUUCAUGACUGGGGUGAAGUCGUAACAAGGUAAGCGUACGUGU
rnacentral:rRNA from 1 species